AGGCAGGGUGCAGAGGGAGAUGGCUGCUACAACAACUGAUCCAGACAAUAGUGGACAACUACCAACACCAGAGGAUCCUCUGGGAUACAUAUGAUUUUUUAAAUUACAGCUAAUGUUGGCAUUCAAAAGCCAUGGGAAUGAUAUUAAAAACUUUUAGUCAUAAAGAAAUUCCAGAAAGAGCAUUGCCUGACAACCAAAACACUUCUGGAUUUUACAAUUUUGACAGAAUUUUUCAUCCUAUGAGAUGCAUUUCUCCUAAAGGCUACCUGAUGUGACUCUGAAGCUAAACCAGGGUGGCUUGGAGAAUAUCAAGUAGUGCAAUACCAUCUGCACAGUGCUGAAUCUGGAUACUUCACUGGCAGUAUGAGGAUGCAGGCAAAUUGGGAAAUGCUGACAAAUAAAUCACAUGGAAUUGUGAGCUAAAGGAAUAGAAACUGUAUCCUUACUGAAUAAGACAAACAGAAAGACAGAACAAAGGAAAGAAGAAUCACAGAUUUACUUUAGGGCACAAACAGUUUGCACUGUUUCAUUGACCACAAGUUACACCACCUGUACAAACUGGAAGAACUUCCCUCAUGUCCUACAAGGAAAACAAGCAGAAACCCACAAAAAACAAACAACCCCCCCCCCAAAAAACCACAAAACAUCACCACAACAACAAAAAACACCAAAGCCAAGCAAAAAGAAAAACCCAAGAAAAAAAUCUAGGAAUAAAUGAUGGUUAAUUAGUGACCUCAUUGGUCCUACAACUCUUCAGGUAUCAAGGGAAAAAAACAUCAUGACCAAACUGUUCUUAAAAGCAAUUCUCUCCAGGUAUUAAGGAAUACAAACCUGCUAAUUAUUAAAGAAUUUUCAGCAUUCUCUGAAUUUUGCAGUUUGCUCUUGCAGUCUUUCCCAAUUCCAUUUAACACCACAUUUCACAAGCUUUAGCCAAUAAAUGUGUUUACAGAUGAAUCACAAACGUGUUAACCAUUAAUCUCUGCCCUAGUGUCACUCAUUUUAUACUCUGCUCUGAAGCAUAAUUUUGUAAUCAAAAAUUGUCAUCCAGCACAUACAGAAGAAA